CCUUGGCGGGGCAGCAAAGCGAGUCAAGGGGUGCGGGAAGGCUGGCCUGGCCCUGGAGCUCUGCAGAGUGAGCUGAGCAGACGGGGAGGUUCAUUCCCCGACUCAAGAGCCUUUAGGACCUGGCACAGCCCCCUGCUUCCCUCUGGGGACAUGGAGGCCAGGACUGCGGAAUGGCCGUGCUGUACCAUCAAACACACCAGGAAACACGCAUGCUGUGGCGGCCUGCCCCAGAGGGGCCCCAGGCUUCGGGAAUGGGGGGACAGAGGGUGGACAGUGAGAGCAUGGGGGCAGCGGGCAAGUGGAGGUCGGGGUGGCACUGUGGGAGGGAGGCUGGGGAGUGAGGUAGACUGCGGCCGUCCCACACCCUCCCGGGCAGCGGCAUCACCUGGAGACCCUUACUCUGUUCUGUUUUGUCUUAUGAGAUAGCACGUGUUCUCACUUGUAGUUCAUUCAGGUUGUCCUCUCCGUAGAGCCAUAAAUAAAAUAGAGAAGGAUCGUCAUACUUAACACCAGAUUGCUAGGGAAGGCGCAGGCAGCUGUGUCGCUCUGCCUGAAGUGCAGGUGAGCACGGUGCGGGGCGUGUGUGUAGGGGCCAGGGGCAGCGAUGCACGCGUGCGUUCAGAGAGGAGGACCCCUGGCUCCGGCAGUUCUAGAUGGUGCCCAGCAACUGUAGGCGCGUGUGUGGGGCUAGGGGUCAGAGAGGUAAGACCCGGCCAUGGGAGAGAGAGACUCAGACGGUGAUGUCCCCAUUGGUGAUGGCCAAGGUUGGGGCUGAGCAGAAUGCUAGGAGCCAGGUUCCACAUCACCACGAGAGGAGCGGGGUUGUGAAGCCCUUUGUUUGUUUAAACCACAGGCGUCCUGUGCUCUUGGGCCAACACCUGCAGAAGCAAAGUCCUUGAUUCCCUGAUGUUGCAGCCAGCUGGCAUGGGGCCAAGGACAGGUGUCUGCAGCCAUGAGUAUAGGCACCAACAGGAGCACCAACAGGAGGUGUAUGAGCUGAGCUGCCGACUCAGAUCUACCAGGGCAUGGCACCGAUGGUUAGGCUGGCCGAAUCAGGGAGACUGAAGAUAUGACGAUUCCUUGAAAAUGUAAGCCCACCGGUGUUACUAACAGCACGAUGAAUUAGGUUGGCUGAAUCGGGUUGCGGGGAUAUUUUUCAUGGAAACUGCAUAGAAGUCAUGGUAGUGCCUUCAAAAUAAAAAGCAGACAAGAAGUG